rnacentral:rRNA from 1 species
AUUGAACGCUGGCGGCAGGCCUAACACAUGCAAGUCGAACGAGUGGCGGACGGGUGAGUAAUGUCUGGGCAACUGCCCGUUGGAGGGGGAUAACUACUGGAAACGGUAGCUAAUACCGCAUACCAUCGGAUUUGCCCAGAUGGGAUUAGCUAGUAGGUGGGGUAACGGCUCACCUAGGCGACGAUCCCUAGCUGGUCUGAGAGGAUGACCAGCCACACUGGAACUGAGACACGGUCCAGACUCGUACGGGAGGCAGCAGUGGGGAAUAUUGUACAAUGGGCGCAAGCCAGAGAAAGACAUGCCGCGGGUAUGAAGAAGGCCUUCGGGUUGUAAAGUACUUUAAGCGAGGAGGCGUUACUCGCAGAAGAAGCACCGGCUAACUCCGUGCCAGCAGCCGCGGUAAUAC